AUUAAAGUGCCUGAAUAAAGGGUUAUUUUGAUAGAAUAAAUUAUAUAUAAUUAUUUAUAUCUUUAAUA
rnacentral:tRNA from 1 species